UUUCCAUGACGUGUGAAAUAAGACUUGACUUCGGAUUUUCCAUCGUACGAAAUGUCGCGUCGAAGUGGUUGGAGUACAAAGAAAUUUAAAGAACUAGAAGUAUCAAAUCCACAAGAUUUAAUUGCUAGGGAAACAAUAUCGAAAAGGUGUUAUACUUCAAAAAAAAAUUGUAACCUCGCAAAAUAGUGAAUUGUUAGAUAGUUCAAUGUUGAGAGGUGAAUCGAUAGAACCAUUGGUACCCAAUCUUGUCAUAGUGCAGCCUGUUAAAAGCUCUUUAUGUAAUUCUAGGAUUGAGAAAAAUGAAUCGAUUGAAUAUGAAGCAAUGUCAAGUUAUGGUUUUGAGAACAAGAGUGGGAAAGAAGUCUGGAUGCAGGCGUUUGCAAAGCUAAGAAAUAUGGUGGUGAUAUUUCUAUUUUGGAUUUUUUUGGUGAUCAAAGAAUGGAAAACGAGCCAGAAGAGACUCCUCUGGAAAGCGAAUGAUGCAAAUCGCCAGUGAAUUGGAGGAAAUGAAGUACGAAUCGUCCAUGGAAAUUACGGAAAAUACCCGCACCAUCAUCUCCUGUGCCUUGGGGAAAGUCUAUGACAACAUGUACUACGACUUAAUUAAAGAACGUUUCAGUGCAAAGAUUGAAGAUUUUAUCCACGAACAAUUGCAAACUCCUGGGAUGGAUAGCAAAGUUCGAGUGGUGGUGGCAGUGACGACGCUACUUCUGGGACCUCUAGAUGUUGGUAGUUCUAUUAUUGGCUAAGAAGGUGUCUUGGAAAUGAUCCUCGUCAUGGCAAACAGUGGUGAAUUCCUCAUGCAGGUGAGAAACCUUUUUCAUAAUU